rnacentral:rRNA from 1 species
CCAAUAGCGUCUAUUAAAGUUGUUGCAGUUAAAAAGCUCGUAGUUGAACUUCGGGAUCAAUGGAUCGGUCCUGCCAUCGGUAUGUACUGGUCUCAUUGGUUCUCACCUUCUAAGGAACCUUAAUGUCAUUCAUUUGAUGUUUUGGGGAAUUAGGACUGUUACCUUGAAAAAAUUAGAGUGUUUAAAGCAGGCUAACGCUUGAAUACAUUAGCAUGGAAUAAUGAAAUAGGACAUCGCAUUCUAUUUUGUUGGUUUCUAGGAUCGAUGUAAUGAUUAAUAGGGAUAGUUGGGGGCAUUAGUAUUCAAUUGUCAGAGGUGAAAUUCUUGGAUUUAUUGAAGACUAACUACUGCGAAAGCAUUUGCCAAGGAUGUUUUCAUUAAUCAAGAACGAAAGUUAGGGGAUCGAAGACGAUCAGAUACCGUCGUAGUCUUAACCAUAAACUAUGCCGACUAGGGAUCGGAUGAUGUUGAUUUUUUAAUGACUCAUUCGGCACCUUACG